AACGAGCGCUGGCGGCAGGCUUAACACAUGCAAGUCGAACGCGUGCAGCAAUGCACGAGUGGCGCACGGGUGAGUAACGAGUGGAUAUCUGCCUUUUGGUUCGGAAUAACCCCGGGAAACUGGGGCUAAUACCGGAUGGUUCCUACGGGAUAAAGAUUUAUCGCCAAAGGAUGAGUCCGCGUCCGAUUAGCUAGUUGGUGAGGUAAUGGCUCACCAAGGCGACGAUCGGUAGCUGGUCUGAGAGGACGAUCAGCCACACUGGGACUGAGACACGGCCCAGAAUACUACGGGAGGCAGGAGUGGGGAAUAGUGGAAAAUGGGGGCAAACCUGAUACAGCCAUGCCGCGUGAGUGAUGAAGGCCUUAGGGUUGUAAAGCUAUAUUGGCGGGGAAGAUGAUGACGGUACCCGCAGAAUAAGCCCCGGCUAACUUCGUG
rnacentral:rRNA from 1 species